GGAAAGGCUCAAUAUUGAGGGAAUCAGAUACUUUCCAGCCUCAAAGGGUGUCCAUGCUGUGUACAGAUUCUCUAUGAUCCCAGUAUUGCUGUGGUGUGCUAAGUACCCUUAACCAGCCAGCCAGCCAUUGGUGCAUUUUGUAAAAAAAAAAAAAAAAAAAAAAAAAAAAAAAGAAUGUGUGCAGAAAGGUUCAAAGCUAUAGGAACAAGCCAGAACUAGAAAAUUCCACAGCCUGAGGCAUGCAGGCCUCCAGCCUGGGGCAGACACAAAAAGACUCAGCUUUCAGUGGGGUAAGCAGAGCUGCCUCCGGUAGAGUUACCUGUGACCUCAUCAGCUCAUUAGCUCUAUCUGCCCUGAUCUUGUUCUGAGACAAGGCUACAAGGAUCAAAAUCUGAGUUAUUGGGCCCAGGGGCAAAUGGAAUGUUGGGAGCCUGUGAUGGACUGACUUCUAGUUGAUUUCCAUUACGGAGAGAAGAGAGGAGGCAGAGGGUGUAUGUGCAGCCCAGGCUGUCAUAGCACUCACUAGGGAGCCAAGGAUGACCUUGAACUGAUCCCUCCUAUCUGGACCUCUGGCGUGCUAGUAUGACAAGUAAGCAUCUCCACAUCUUGUUUAUGCUGGGGUUGGGAUCUGGGCUCAGUGCCUACAAGGCAAGCACUCUGCCCAUUGAGCUACAAGCAUUCUGUUCCUGGUCCUACCCUAUAGUUCUAUCCCUUCUGAGUUGGAUCAGUUCUUUACAGGUUCUUGACUCGAAUCCCCUUCUAUCUGUUCCCUGUGCUGUACUGCUCAGAAGCUCUUGAGUUUUGGGCCCUCAUCUCUGUCAGUUCCUUCCUGAGCCCUAGAAUCCUUAUUAGGAAGUCUUCCUGAUAUGUCCGUCUGUGGGUAUCAGGGUUGGAGCAAAAUGGAUGGAACUGAGCAAUGGAUAAAUUCAAGGAAACAUGUAGGCUUGAAAUUGUCUUAAUAGAAUCAGUUAUUUCUUCUUUCUCUUCUAAUUCAUAUCUUUGCCCCUUUUCUUUUUAAUUGCACAGUCUUGCCAUACAGCCCAGGCACCCCCAAAUGUCAUUAUCCCUUUGCCUGAGUCUUCUGCAUAGUUAGAUUGCCAGUGGGAGCCCCAGACUGAGCAUAGAAUUUUCCUUUUAAAAACAUUACUUUAUUAUUUUAUGUGUGUGACUCUUGUCUGCAUGUCUAUUAUGUCUGUAAGUCUAUGUAACACAUGCAUUCCUGGUGCCCCCAGAGGUCACAAGAGGCCAUCAGGUCCUCCUGAAACUGGAGUUAGAGGUGAUUUUAUCACCACUAUGUGGAUGCUUAGAAUCAAACUCAGGUUCCCACAAGAACAAGUGCUCUUAUUCACUGAGCCAUCUCUUGAUCCCACUUUAAAAAAUAAUUACAUUUAUUUAUCUUGGAUGGGGGAGAGUACAGUUCAGAGGUCAACUUUCAGAAGUCAGUGUUCUGUUACCAUGAGGGUCCCAGGAAUUGAACUCGGGUUGUCAAGCUUGACACAAUUGUUUGACCUGCUGAGAAUCUCUGCUUCAAGCAUGCUUAGGCCUCUCUCAACUUUACCAUGGUCCUAGCUUCAGGACAUUUUGAUCAUAUGUAAACAUCUCUCCUCAUUUGUGCCUCAUGACCCUGUGGUAUGCCUCUCUGGAUCUUCCUAGCCUACAUACUUUACACACACAGCAUCAUUACAAUAUUUUUUUUUUAUUUUUUGUUCCAGCUUAUGUAAUGGCAUUGUCUAUCUAUGAGGUACCACUGUCAAACUUACUGUCCUUUUCAUGGCUGAAUAAUAUUCCUUUUUAUAGUUGGACCACAUGGUGUUUAUUAACCUUGUAUAACUUAAUUUACUUUUUAUUUGAAUCUUUCUUUUGAAGAAAGAAACAAUCAUUUUUUCCUAUUUUAUCUUUCUUUAAAAGAAACAAAUCAACUUUUCAUUUUGUAUACUCUGCAGCUUGCAGCUGCUUGCCACACCAAUUGGCUCUUUUAAAUAUAAAUUAAAGCAGGACAAGGUAGCACUUGCCUUUGAUACCAGAUAGCAUUCAAUGGGCAGAAGAAGGUAGAUCUCUGUACGUUUGAGGCUAGCCUGGUCUAUAAGACAGCCAAGGCUACACAGAGAAACCCUGUCUC
rnacentral:lncRNA from 1 species